rnacentral:lncRNA from 1 species
AGACAUUUCUCUGCGAAUGAUAGUACUAGACAGGACAAUGCUGUUUGCAGCAACGUCUCCAGAAGACGACAGUGGGAACCCAUGGAAAACCAGAGAAUUCAAACCAAAGGAAAACCAGGAAACUUUGCCGAUCUUCUUCGGGGGAAACUUCUGAAAUGUUUGCCAUCAUCGGGACAAUUGUUCGGGAUGUCAAUAGAGUUUCUUAAUUAGGUGACAGACCUGAGUGUUCUAAAGAGACACGUGUCAAGAGAUUCGGUUUUCCCAGGUUACCCCUGAGAAACACCAAACCUG